UAACACGCCAACGAAACUAUCAGACUUCAAGCUUCUCUCUCUUGCCCCAAGAUUCAAAAAUGGCCUCUUCCCUGGUUCUCUCGAGUGCGUUCUCUUCCGUAACUCGCCGUCCCAGUAUCCCAGUACAACCUCUCUGCCCAAUCUUAAUUCCCUCGUUCCAAAAAUCCACUAAUUCAAAAUUCUUUAGACCAAUCCAUCUGUUUCCCUCAAAUUAUGUGUCUUUUUCCUGGAAAAUUUCGACCCACAGUUCCCUUAGAUCAGAUGCAGAUACAAACAGCUCCGUCUCUGAAGAGUCGCUUGUGGGUGAGGACUCGGCAGCGUUCGAGUUGGGUAAACAGAAGAUGCUAUCUUGGAUAUAUUUCAGUGUGAUAUUGGGAGUUGUUUUAUAUGUGCUUGAUGUGGCUUGGAUUGAUAACUCUACGGGAUAUGGAAACCUUUUUAUCGACGCUGUUUCCGGUCUUUCAGAGAGACAUGAAGCUGUAAUGUUGAUUCUGAUUUUCAUUUUCGCCACUGUUCACAGUGGCUUGGCAAGCCUCCGGGAUAUGGGUGAGCAACUUAUUGGAGAAAGACCAUAUCGUGUUUUGUUUGCUGGGGUCUCUCUUCCAUUAGCUGUUAGCACUGUCGUGUACUUUAUUAAUCAUAGAUAUGAUGGAGUUCAAUUAUGGCAGCUUCAAAGUUCUGUAGCAGUUCAUCAACUUGUGUGGCUUUCUAAUUUUAUUUCUUUCUUUUUCCUCUAUCCUUCUACUUUUAAUCUAUUAGAAGUAGCAGCUAUUGACAAGCCUAAAAUGCAUCUUUGGGAAACUGGAAUAAUGAGGAUCACGAGGCACCCUCAGAUGGUUGGACAGGUGAUCUGGUGCUUGGCUCAUACAAUUUGGAUUGGCAAUUCUGUAGCUGUUGCUGCAUCUAUUGGUCUAAUUGGACAUCACUUAUUUGGCGUGUGGAAUGGAGACAGAAGACUAGCAAAGCGAUAUGGAGAGGGUUUCGAGGCUGUGAAGAAGCGGACAAGUAUAGUUCCGUUUGCUGCAAUCUUUGAUGGUCGUCAAAAGUUACCCACAGAUUAUUACAAGGAAUUUCUCCGGUUGCCAUAUUUUUCAAUUACUGCAUUGACUCUAGGUGUGUACUUUGCUCACCCACUUUUGCAGGCUGCCAGUUCCCGGCUUCAUUGGUAAGCAUUUUCAUCUUCAUUUUAUCAAAUUUAAGGUGGUUUGUAAUUGCGUAUGGUUAAUGUAAAAUAGACACAUGUAUCCAUUCUGAAAGGGGGAAAAAAACAUAGCCUGUUCACAAUUCUUGCCUUGGUGGGUAAGUAAAUGAAUGAUGGAUAUAAUUGCAUGCACAUAGAACUUGAAUCCAUAUCAAAGCGUUUUUAGCAUGUGUACGUAGAGAUAUUAAAAGGCGUGUUUAGCAGGCGAAAGGAUAUAGAUCAAUGUUCUACUGUUAUGGUACCUUAUGGCACUAUUGAGAAGAUUUUCUAGCUUAUGGGUUAAACCGAUUGAUGAACUUUGCUUUAUGAUUUUAUCCUCUAGUUUUAGAUUUGUGUUCUGUUCAGUUGGUCAGUAGCUUGUGGAGCAGCACCAAAUUCAGUGAUGUUUGUAUGACUAGUUAAAGAUUUUCUUUAUCAACAGUUGGACCAAAUCACCACUAUGCUGCAAAAGAAAUGUGUACUUAGGGGACAAUUUGACUCCAAUUAUACUGCUAAUAACUAGUAAAUGAUUCACUACAAGUUUUACUUCAAUGAAUUAAGUGUUUAUUUGGUAUUGAUGGUAGAGCUACAGUUGAGAAAAAAAAAAUGCAUCCUUGAAUAUGUUAAUUAAAUGAUGUUAAAAAUUAGUUUGAAGUUAAAUUUGAUAUAUUUUAGUCAAAAACUCGGAAAACAAAUAACAAUGUUUUCAAUGGGGCCUUUUUAAAAGGAAGCUUUUUGGCUUCAUGCUUGCGAUCCCAAGUUGUCUGGACUUUGUACUGUUGGAGGCUUCCUGAGACCUGACCGAUCAGUGGAUUAAGUUAAUUGACCAAAUUGGUAAAUUUUCAUAAUAGCUUGUUAAAAUCAGUCCACCCUAGAGACAAAAUAUAUAAUAAAUAGAAGCUUGGCCACGGUAAAUUCAGAUGCACAAAACGCUAGAGAAAAAUUUAGGUCAGACAAUAGGGCUCUAAAAUAUAUUAGAACAAUCUAAGUGAAGGAAUUUUGUAACAUUUGCUUGAAUUACGAUUGCUUAUAUUAAAGAAAUUUUCUUAAAUUUUAAUAUUGUGGACUGAGAAAUCAGGGCGUUCAAACUUCAUUUGGUUUCUAUUUGAGCAAAUGAAUUUAAUUUUUUUAAUAAAAAAUUUAAAUAAUAAUGAAGCAAAAAUAAAAUAAGUUUAAUUUAAUUUUUUUAAUAAUAAAUAAAUUAGUAUCUUGUGUUUUGUUUUGUUUUGUUUUUGUAUUAUAAGAACACCCUCAUAGAUCCUACUUUUGUUGUACGUAAAUGACAAUAUUUAAAACUAGUAUUAUUGAUUAAUUUUGUACUGUUUAUUGGACAAUAGGCAGAAAUUAAAUACCUGGGGCAGCUAUGUCAUCCAAAUCUUGUAAAAUUGAUUGGUUAUUGCCUAGAGGAUGAUCAACGGCUUUUAAUCUAUGAGUUUAUACCAAAAGGCAGCUUGGAGAAAUAUAUAUUUGAAAGUGAGUGAUUGUCCUUUUCUUCGGGAAGCAAUUGAGCCUUGUACCUUUGGUGUAGGAUUUUGUGUGAUCUCAAGUAUGAAUUGUUGGAACAGGGAGUUCUCGCAUUCAACUACUGUCUUGGAAUCUCCGUAUGAAAGUUGCCCUUGGUGCUGCCAAGGGUCUCAAAUUUCUUCAUGAU
rnacentral:misc_RNA from 1 species